rnacentral:rRNA from 1 species
GAUAAACGCUAGCGGCAGGCUUAACACAUGCAAGUCGAGGGGCAGCAUAGAUUGUAGCAAUACAAUUGGUGGCGACCGGCGCACGGGUGCGUAACGCGUAUGCAACCUACCCGUCACAGGGGGAUAAUCCGGAGAAAUCUGGUCUAAUACCCCAUAACAUAUGGAUCGGCAUCAGUUCAUGUUGAAAUUUUCGGAGGUGACGGAUGGGCAUGCGUAGCAUUAGCUUGUUGGUGAGGUAACGGCUCACCAAGGCGACGAUGCUUAGGGGGACUGAGAGGUUUUCCCCCCACACUGGUACUGAGACACGGACCAGACUCCUACGGGAGGCAGCAGUGAGGAAUAUUGGUCAAUGGGCGCAAGCCUGAACCAGCCAUGCCGCGUGCAGGAUGACGGCUCUAUGAGUUGUAAACUGCUUUUGUACGAGGGUAAUAGUAUCUACGUGUAGGUAUUUGAAAGUAUCGUAUGAAUAAGGAUCGGCUAACUCCGUGCCAGCCGCCGCAGUAA